AGCUUUUAUGCAACUCUCCCCAAAUUGCCCUUUUUCGUUUUUUUGCCUUAUAACCCCACAAAAUUGGAGUUCUCUACCAUUCAAAAGUUGCAUGAUAAAUUUCAAAAAGCAAGGUUAUAUCUGGUAUUUCAUAAGCUAUUUACACACUGUCCAAUGUUAGAAGAUUUCAAUUUCAAAUUUCAUAUUCUCCCUCUUUUUCUCCCUUUAUAAUCAAUUUGUGUUUUCUGUCUCUUAAUCUACUCAUAUUCAUGUUAUAUCUUCUCUUUCAUUUUCUCUUUUCUUCUACAUAUUUUUUCCUUACUACUAAUGUUUGUUCUUAUUUUGCAGAGAAAGAAGAAUAAAAGAAAAUGAAAUCUUCACAAAGGUAUGUCCUAGAAAAACUCGCAUUUUCUUUGUUCAUCUAUUUUUUCUAUCUUUUAUAUCAUGUUUUUAACAAACAUAUUUUUUCUUCAACUUUCCUUUACAUCAAUGAUUCUAUAGAAUAAAAACAACUAAUAACAAUUAUUUAUGAAAAAAAAAUUUGUUGCAGAAAAUAAAUAAGAGCUUAGAAGAUGCACUUCUCCAAAAAUAAAUAAAAAGUCAAGAAAAUGAAUAUCAAUCUUCACUAAUUUCUUUUUCAUUAAACAAAAAACAGCAGCACCACAUACUUAUCAAAAGCAUUGUUAUCAUUUUAUUUUUCACUAAUUAAUGCAAUAAUAUGUUUUUUCCUUUCAGGAUACAUAAAGAUACAAACAAAAAUGAGAAGAAAACAAGAAACAGAGAUACAUACAGAUACAAAUAAAUAUGAGGAGGAAAAAAUGAAAGAAAGUUUGAUUUAGGUAAAAAUAACUUAAUAUUUAUUGAUGUUCAAUAUUGUUUUUAAAUUUUAAUUAAACAUGCUGUUAUGAAGAAUAAAAAUAAGUACUAACAAUUUUAUUUGGACAAAAAUUGGUUGCAAAAGAUAGAGCUUAGAAGAUUUAAAAAAUAAAAUAAAAUAAUGAUUUUAAUAAAUAAAUAAAUAAAAAUUAACGGAUCUAAAAACAAAUAGAAGAAAAGAGCUAGAGAAGUUGAGUUUGUGACUUUCAUUAAAGUAAUUGUUUUUCUAUGAACAUUUUUUAAAUAACAUUUUGUGAAUGAAAACAACUACUAACAUUUAUUAAGUAAUUAAAAAAAAAUGUUGCGGAAUAAUAAGAGCUUGGUAGGUUUCAAACUAGAAAAUGACCUUGCUAUAUUGUUUUAAAAAGACCUUGCAGUAAUAAUUUUAAACAUGAAAUUAAAUUAAAUAAAUAUGAGUGUUUCUUUAUAGAUAUGAACAUAGAUAUAAAAAAAUUACUUUACCAGCAAAAAAUAUUCCUUUAAUUUCUCUGAUUUUGUUGUUGUUAAACUAGGAGCUUAGACAAAGAAGCAAACCUCUCAUACAAAGAUGUAAAAAGAAAAGAAAGAAAGUAUGUUUCUGGCACAGUGAUACAAUUUCUAGCACGAUUCCGAUCCGGUGGUUACAUUUUCCGGCACGGUGGCUACAUUUUCCGGCGCGGUGGCUAUUGGCAAAUGUAUUCCGAUCUUAAUUUUUCGUUCUGGAUUUUGUGGAAGAGAAGGAGGAGAGCCUUUUAUAGUGAUGAUUUUUUAAAUGGUGGUGUGUGGUGAUCAAAAUCUAGAUCUAAACAAAUUGAAAGCACCACUCUAACAACAACAAAAAAGCAAAACAAAAGAGAAAGAUAAAGAAGAAGGUUGAAUAGGAAGAUAGAGGAUGAGAUUUGAUGGUAGCAAAAUCAAGUUGGAGGCAUUGGAUUUGGUGGCCGGCGGCUAGGGUUUGUUUGUGGAAAACAACUUCUCAAAACUUCUUUCUUGAAGAAAGAGAAAGAAA